rnacentral:snRNA from 1 species
UAAUGUGAGGGCAAUCUGAAUGUGAUGUCUGUCACCUCAUUGGUUUGGUUACCAGGGUUGAUUUGGUUGACGUGGCUAAGAAGGUGUCUCCUUUCUCUUUCACUGCUCCAUGUGUGUCUCUCCAAAUGCUAUGUCUGUAAUCAACAAGGACAACCUCCCCAUAAUAAAGAAGAACAUUUCUCUGGUCAAGGGUAUAUGAAUAGCUAUGCUCUACAGCUAGAACCUCUAAAUAAGCUCUCAAGAAAAACCAUUUCCAAUCAAAAGAUUACAGUAGCAGGUAUAAUGCAGAAUAACACAUUCUCAAAACUUUGA